UACGUAGGGAGCAAGCGUUGUUCGGAUUUACUGGGCGUAAAGCGUGCGCAGGCGGCGCGUUAAGACAGGUGUGAAAGCCCCGAGCUUAACUUGGGAAUUGCGCUUGUGACUGGCGUGCUGGAGUGCGGGAGAGGAGAGUGGAAUUCCUGGUGUAGCGGUGAAAUGCGUAGAUAUCAGGAGGAACACCGGUGGUGUAGACGGCUCUCUGGACCGUAACUGACGCUGAGACACGAAAGCGUGGGUAGCAAACAGG
rnacentral:rRNA from 1 species